UUCUGUGACACGAAGAAGGGGUGCUGCUUCCCGGACACCGGCAAGCCGGCGACGGACUUCGGCAUCCACGGGCUCUGGCCCAACUACGCCGAGUGCAAGACCCGCGGCGAGCUCGACGGCGCCUUGGAGAUGGUGACCAGGCGGAGGAAGAAGUGCUGGCCGGAGUCCUGCAACAGCGAGCGCCUCAAGCUCUGGGAAAUCAGGGACCUGGUGACGGAGCUGGACGCCAACUGGCCGACGCUGGCGUGCAAGGGCGGGAAGAGCUUCGAGUUCUGGACCCACGAGUGGGAGAAGCACGGCACCUGCUCCAACCUGGACCAGCACGGCUACUUCGCGACGGCGCUCGGCUUCAAGGCCCGCCACAACCUCACCAGCAUCCUCGCCGACGCCGGGAUCGUGCCGUCCGACACCGAGACCUACUUCCUCAGCAGCAUCAGGGACGCCAUCAGGGAGGGGACCGGGUUCACGGCGAACCUGGAGUGCAACCGUGGCGUCGACGGCGAGACGCAGCUGUUCCAGGUGUACCAGUGCAUCGACCGCGACGGGGAGAACCUCAUCGACUGCCCGCUGCCGAUGCAGGGCAA
rnacentral:lncRNA from 1 species